GAUGAACGCUAGCGGCAGGCCUAAUACAUGCAAGUCGAACGAGAUUAAGAGGCUUGCUUCUUAUGAAAGUGGCGCACGGGUGCGUAACGCGUAUGCAACCUACCUUAAUCAGGGGGAUAGCCCGAAGAAAUUCGGAUUAAGACCGCAUAAAAACACAGGAUAGCAUUAUCCAAUGUUCAAAUAUUUAUAGGAUUAAGAUGGGCAUGCGUGUCAUUAGCUAGUUGGCGGGGUAACGGCCCACCAAGGCGACGAUGACUAGGGGAUCUGAGAGGAUGACCCCCCACACUGGUACUGAGACACAGACCAGACUCCUACGGGAGGCAGCAGUAAGGAAUGAUGAUCAAUGAAAGGAACUCUGAACCAGCCAUGCCGCGUGCAGGAAGACAGCCCUCUGGGUCGUAAACUGCUUUUAUUCGGGAAUAAACCUUUCUACGUGUAGGAAGCUGAAUGUACCGAAGGAAUAAGGAUCGGCUAACUCCGUG
rnacentral:rRNA from 1 species